AGGUUUUCUAUGCGCCACAGUCGAAUCUGGAUCCCUGCUUUCUUACUUCACCGUGAACGAUCAAGCUAAGGAGGUCAGUGUUAAGAUAGACGAUGAUCUGAUAUUUAAAGCCGAGAUGGUAGGGGAGGCUAUCAACCCACACUGGACAAUACAAGGCAGGACGGCAGGUUACGACGCUCUACAGGGUAUCAAAAUCUUGUCCAAAACAAUGUUUCUCAAAAAACCCGCCAGCUGUUUAUUUAACGACAUCUUUGAUUGUACAGCGAGUUUAGAAGGACGUAACGAAACGCUCAGCGUCAAAAUCAG